UACGUAGGUGGCAAGCGUUAUCCGGAAUUAUUGGGCGUAAAGCGCGCGUAGGUGGUUCAGUAAGUUAGGAGUGAAAGCCCCGGGCUUAACCUGGGAAUUGCUUCUAAAACUGCUGAGCUAGAGUACGGUAGAGGGUGGUGGAAUUUCCUGUGUAGCGGUGAAAUGCGUAGAUAUAGGAAGGAACAUCAGUGGCGAAGGCGACCACCUGGACUGAUACUGACACUGAGGUGCGAAAGCGUGGGGAGCAAACAGGAUUAGAUACCCCGGUAGUCCCUGA
rnacentral:rRNA from 1 species